CACAUGACGGAAGGAUAAGACUUCUCUUCUAGAC
rnacentral:tRNA from 1 species